rnacentral:rRNA from 1 species
UACAGAGGUCUCAAGCGUUGUUCGGAUUCAUUGGGCGUAAAGGGUGCGUAGGCGGCGCGGUAAGUCGGGUGUGAAAUCUCGGAGCUUAACUCCGAAACUGCAUUCGAUACUGCCGUGCUUGAGGACUGGAGAGGAGACUGGAAUUUACGGUGUAGCGGUGAAAUGCGCAGAUAUCAGGAAGAACACCCGUGGCUAAGGCAGCUCUCUAGUACGGUACUGACGCUGAGACGCGAAAGCGUGGGGAGCGAACAGG